AUGCAUUCUUUCACAAACCCCAGUAGUUGCUUGUAGCUGUGGGGACAAGAAAGAAUGCGAGAGAAAACGCAAGAAUCUUCCUAAGCUAAGGGUCUUCUUGACGUGACCUUCGGCUAUUUCACAUCUUGAACAUUC